CGCCGGCGGCCUGGCGGUUCUCCUCCUGCAGGGACGCGCAGCCCGGGACCGCCACUAGCAGUGCGGGGUGGGGAGGGCGGGGCCGGGGGACAGGAGGGGAGGCGCCCGGGCGCUUUCAACGGUCCAGGUCUGCGGAUGGAGCGGGGACCCACCCGCUCACUGUCCCCUUCCGCAGUCAGCGCCUGGCGCCAGGGAGCUGUCCGCCCCGGUGGUUCUGAACCAGGCGCUGCUGAAACGCUCCAGGUUUUGGUGUUGGUGCUGUGAACGGCUAAUUUCCUUGGAUCCAGAAGCUGGAUUUUCUUGGAUUCUUAGAAGCUGGCUUGACAUUGAAGUCUAUCAAAGAGAAUUUGCAUCUGCUUUUCACAGCAUCCUAGAGGUGCUACCAAUCUGGGACCACUUUGAAUAUAUUUAUCUAUUUGUGAUUUUUGGUGGCUGCAGAGGUUCUGUGAAUUUGAACUAAAAACUCUUGUAAUAUCUUAGUUGUAUAUUUUCAGAGGAAUUUUUUUUUUGCCAACACCAAGUCUAGAUAGGCAGAGAGGAUACCUGAGUAAUUCUGUGAAGGUGAAUUACAUUCGUGACUUGGAAAGGCUACCUUGAUGAUAGAUGAGAUUUGGGGAGUUGGACAUCUGCUGUGACCAGAGGGCUGUUACAGAAGGGAAUUUGGAGAUUCCAGUUGGUUACAGGGGCACAUGCAAUGUUAUUUUUAACCUCCCUUACAGGAGGGACUGGCAUUUCUCUGGUUGCUAGGGAAAUUGUGUUCUGAACUGUUACACAUUGGUUCCUAAUUUUAAAAGUCUUAGGGAAAACUAGAAAACUUUAUGAGCCAGUACCAGUGUGUUGUGCUAGGACUGUGCACCUGCUAAAACGUGGCUAUUUUUCUCUUAAUGUACUCACGGGCAACUGUCACCAUAGCAACAACAAUGCGGGACCUUGCUGGUUCAUAGCGGAGGAUUCCUGUUGGUUUAGUGAUGGAGGCCAGUCCAGAAGCCUGUUCAGGAUUGAAGGAAGGUGAUGGAUUAGAGUUGAAAUAUCAUGGAGACCCUCUUCCCAGGGAAAGAAAGGGGGAAAUUUGACCGCUGGAAAGAGUGAGAGUGAGAUCUCCCGACUUUGCAUUCCUGAAGACUGCUUGGGCCUGGUGAGACAGGCAUGUUUUGUUUGGAUGCUAAAUUAAGUGGAGAGGAGACCUUAUGAUGUGAGUUUGGCAGAGGAAUAAAUCAAAUAAAACAAUAAGGCGAGCAGUUAUCCAAACAAAAUGGGCUUACAACCCUGGAUAUUAAUGAGGCUUUUACUUUAAACAGAUAUGUUUAACCAAGCAGCAUGAAUCCAUAUUGGGAACUGGAGGAAUUAUGGAGAUUGUGUUGGAAUCCUGCCCAAAAGAGGUUUGACUAUGUUAUCUUGUGCUAACAGGAGCGCCCAGGGAGCAAGAGAAGCCCUGAGACAGUGGCAAGGGACACUGUGGGGCCGCAGUAUAAGUAACCUGUGUCCUCCCUCCCUCUUCAAAUGAGAGCUGGGGUCCUGGAAUUGGAUCCCAGACAUCAGCACCCUGAAAUCCAUGAGAUAAGGUGAGGUGGGCUGGAAAGGCCUCAAGGGAGGAGAGGAGGCGGGACAGGAGGGAUAGGGAUGCAGGCUCUAGGAGGAGGGAGAUGCUUCAGCAUCAUCCAGCCCAUAGCUGUCUAUCUCCUUCUCGAAAUGAGAUGCUAAUGGCAGGGUGAGAGGAUCGCUGAGAGAGAGGAAAAGGAGUACAAAGCUGUAUAAGCCAUAAUGCCUGGCCCUCCCCAGACCUAUUCUCAGAGGACAACACAGGAUUCUCAGUGACAGCACUUAGGAUGCAGGGAGGGUCUUUGUGCUUGUCAUAAAGUGCUUAUAGGCAGUGCUGUUUCAGGGGGAAAACAUGCUUGAACAACUUCCUGGAAUUUCCUUCUCAGAAUAAGUAUGACAGAUUGGCAUUUUAGAAUCUUGUGUUUGACAGUAUGACACAAACAGAUAAAACCACAAUGAUGGAAUCAAAUAAUAAAAUAGGCUAUGACCAUGCAUUUUCCCUCACCUAUGUAGUAAUAGAAACUAUAUUAUCUCAGGUGCUUUUUAAGAACAUUGCUAAAUUGCCUUCCAUUUUUCCUGGGGUGGCACUUGGUGGUUAGUACUGGGAGGAGCACAGGGAGAGUGGGCAGAGGUGGGAGCAGAGUCUAGCACCUAUAGUUCUGACACCUGUCACUCACUUGCUAUGGGGGUGAGGAGGUUGGGAGAGUAGGUUUUACCACCAAAAAAGCUUUUUUAAAAAGUGUAUAAUCCAUUGACUUUUAGUAUAGUCACAGAGUUGUACAAUUAUCACCAAAACCAAUUUUAGAACAUUUUCACAAUCUUCCGGAGAAAUCCAAUAUUCUAGAGCAACAACUCCCCAUUUUCCCUGAAGACUGCCAUCUCCACCCCAGUCUAACCCUAGGCAACCACUAAUUGACUUUUUUGUCUCUAUAGAUUUCUGGACAUUUUGUAUAAAUGGCAUCAUACAAUAAGUGCCCUUUCGGGUGACUAUCUUCUUUUACUCAGCAUAAUGUUUCCAAGCUUCCUAUAAUAUCUUUUUGUUUAGAUGCAUCCAGGAGGGAUGGUCAUGGUGGACCUGAAAGACCUGAACAGAGAGCCUUUGUGAGGAGCUGAGCUGAGCUGAGCUGGCAUUUGGAAGCAGAGCCUCAGGGAGACCCAGUUCUGAUGGAAUUGAGAGAGGGCGACGUGGGAGUUGGUAUAAGGAAACUGAGGCCCAGA